rnacentral:ribozyme from 1 species
UGCCCAGCAACUCCUAUCCCAACCUCCGCAAGGCACCGGCCAGUCUGCGAGCAACCUUAGGAAAGAUCAGGUAACCAACCUCGGACGGAACUUUGAUUGUAGGCUGACAGAGAAGG